UUAUCAAAAUCAUUGUUUGAGCACUUCUAUUAUUUUUUUCUGGACAACCCUUAUCACUUAGGGGUAUGAAAAAUAGAUGUUAGCCGAUUCUCAUACCUACUGAAUAUGCACAAAAAAUUUCAUCAAAAUCGGUCAAGCCAUUUAGGAGGAGUAUGGCAACGAAAACUGUGACACGAGAAUUUUAUAUAUUAGAUUUGGUGUAUAGGUAUGCCCUGCUGACGCAUACCGGUGGCGCGGCGCGGCAAAGACGACGACGGCAGCGGAGUCCAACCGACGGCGAUAAGGCUCUAUAUAUACGGUUUUGUUUUAACAGUGUCAAGUUGCAAAUCUCGGUUUAACUUUAUCAGUAUUAAUAUGGCAGGGCCAAUAAGUGAAAUGAACCAUUUGUAUUAAUAUGUUGCACCUUCAUCGCCGUCCGAACUCAUCGAUUGUAGUAAUUUCACAAUUGACUUUGAAAACCGCAAGUUUUUAAACAUCGGAUUCGAUCCAAAAGAUAAAUUUAAUAUUGUGCUGAGAAUAAUUACACCGGCACGGUAUGUAAAUAUUUCUCCAGACUUCUUGAAGCGUAUUUAUUCAUUCAUGAUGGGUAAUAUUUUAUCCCACAUUCUCGAUCCUGCUGUGAAAUAUAAAAAAUUCACUUUUUUGGAAUGUGAAUCAUUUUUGAAACCGUAUCAAGAAAAAUCAAUAUCGGUGCUGACGAGGAAAGGGGAUUCAGAGAAUAUUUAGUAACAAAUUCGAUGAAUCCAUUAGAGGCAGCAUGGGCUCCGAUUCGGAAAACUAUACCAAGGACGAAACACGCUGUCGAUGAAAAUGAUGGUCCUACGUAUUUUAACAGACCAUAAUCUACCACCAUCUCUUUCCGACUUCAUAGAUGGCAAGUCAGCAGAACAAUCUACUCAC